rnacentral:lncRNA from 1 species
CAAGUCCAAACCUUGGAAUGUUUUCGCAUGAAGUUUACAGUGUUUCUUCAUCACCCAAUAAAACUCUUUGAUUUCUUCCCGCCGCAGACAGUUUUAAGAGCCUUCAUUUCACAUGGGGUUCUCGGUAUGCUUUUUAAUUUUUAUUUUAAGAUCAUUUUUUAUCACUUCAUCUCCUGUCUCCCACUCUGAGCCUAAGUUCAGUUCGGCCUCCCCGAGCCCCACUGCCUCCCUGCAGUGGGGCACGCCGGCCGAGGCUCAGAGGGGCUUGGUGUUUCCUAAUGUGAGGCGAGGUGUGGUCCCCUGGACUGCAGGAAUAUUUAGAGAUCUGCGCUUAGACUCAAGGAGUAAAAUGCUUAACCUCCUAAUGGUUUACCUUUCUGCAUCUUCCCCUACACAGGAAACACACACUGCAAAGCAAAGUGACUUUUGAAAAGCUACCUCUGAAAAGCAAAGAGAUACUACAAAGCUCUUCAAAAAUGUCUCUGAAUGAAUGAAUUUGUCUGUAAUACAAACUGCGUAGGUAAAAAACUAAUCAGUUAUGACUGUCCCCAACAUUUAGUCGCCUGGUCCAGUCUAUGCAAAGUGGGCUGGUGAAUCCGCAGCAGCAGCAUCUCCUGGGAACCUGCUAGCAAUGCAGAACCUCAGAACCUCAGCCUCUCCCCACCACCCACCCAAUCAAAAUCUGCUCUUUAACCAAUGGCCAGGUGGUUCCCAUACAUGUUAGAAUUUCAGAAGCGUUGACCUAGUUAAUAUACGUCAUGAAUUGGUGCGAAGAAUCAUUUUACAAAAUAUGUGUCCCAGCCUCGUGUGUCUAUUUACAUCUUGCCUCCAUCCACAAGGCGUCUGAAGAGCUAAUCUCGUACUUGGGUAAACUCAGAGGGAAGCCAGUGAGGAGCGGGGAGGGAGUCGAGACAGCAUUCACUGGGGGCCGCAUGCCGCUGGCCUUGCUGGCAGCAGUUGGUGGAGACCCAGCACUGUGGUUUUUCAAAAUAACUAAAGCUCUUUCCUCCAACCAUGAUAUCCUUGACAAAAGGUGCUUCUGUAAAGAUGUAAAUCAUGAAAAUACAAGUUAUACAUUAUGCAGGUAAAUAUGUAUCAGGAUAUAUUCAGAGCUGGCCAUUUGAAGUAGAUUUUUCUCAUCUUUUGUUUUAAAGCAGAAGACGGACUGCUGUUAACUGGUCUAUUCAAAAAAAGCACCACCAUGUUUCCACUAAUGCUCACUGUAAUCUAAAGUCACUCAAGUAGAGAGCCAACAGGCAUUCAAAGUACAUCGCCAGUGAUGUAAAAGGUCAUCUCUGACUUGCACUAAACAGAACAAUGGUGACAAUGAAAACCCAGCAAAUUCACUAGUCUAUGACAUUCAUGUUUUGAGAAACAGAUUUAGUGAUCACAAAAGUCAUAAGCAAUAGCUUCUAAACUUAAGCUAAGCAGAAUCAAACAAACAGAACCUCCAACGAUUUUGAGGUACACUAAGUGGGACCCACUGAGGUUCAGAAGGCCCAAAUGAGACGUGCCUCUCUUCAUGAACCCAGGAGGCAGAGAUUGCCGUGAGCCAAGAUCGAUCGCAUCAUUGGACUCCAGCCUGGGCAACAAGAGUGAAACUCCGUCUCAAAAAAAAAAAAAGAAAAAAAGAAAAGAAAAGCAACAUAAAUACUAACUUGAUUUAGUCUUUCCUUCAGCAAGCAUUUUCAAGUUCUGCACAAAUGGAGCAGUGCACAGAAUCCUUUCUCCAUGGCCAAAAGAGAAGGUUCUGUGUGUGUCUCAGUGUGGAGUCUUUGCCACUGCUUGGUGAAAUAGGAGUCCAUCCCAUGAGUCAGGGCAGGAUUUAACUGUUAGCAAUGCCCUGGGGAGGUCAUUGAGGACCAGCAGGGCCAGGUGGUACAGCCAGUACCUUUUAAAGGUUGUAUCCCAUAUUUAGGCCUACGCAUAGGCUGGCAAUGUUUAAGUGUGAUCCUGUUUGGGUAAAUCCUUUAAGGAAAAUACAUAUAUGCUGGUGUGUGCAUUAAAACAUCUCAAAGAAAUCACAAGAAGCUAUUGACUGUGUUUGUUAUGCAGAUAGAAACUUAAAUCGGGGGCAUCGAGUAUUCUAUUUCAGUUAUUUUCUGUAGUUUGAAUUUGUUACCACAUGCUAGUAUGUGGUAUUCAUUCAUUCAUUCAAGAUAAGACCUGGCUAUGCUCAGAGGAGU